UACGGAGGGGGCUAGCGUUGUUCGGAAUUACUGGGCGUAAAGGGCGCGUAGGCGGCGCGAUAAGUUGGGCGUGAAAGGCCCGGGCUCAACCCGGGGACUGCGCUUGAUACUGUCGCGCUGUGAGUCCGGGAGAGGAUGGCGGAAUUCCCAGUGUAGAGGUGAAAUUCGUAGAUAUUGGGAAGAACACCGGUGGCGAAGGCGGCCAUCUGGACGGAUACUGACGCUGAGGCGCGAAAGCCAGGGAGCAAACGGG
rnacentral:rRNA from 1 species